rnacentral:rRNA from 1 species
GAGCGGUAGAGAGAAGCUUGCUUCUCUUGAGAGCGGCGGACGGGUGAGUAAUGCCUAGGAAUCUGCCUGGUAGUGGGGGAUAACGUCCGGAAACGGACGCUAAUACCGCAUACGUCCUACGGGAGAAAGCAGGGGACCUUCGGGCCUUGCGCUAUCAGAUGAGCCUAGGUCGGAUUAGCUAGUUGGUGGGGUAAUGGCUCACCAAGGCGACGAUCCGUAACUGGUCUGAGAGGAUGAUCAGUCACACUGGAACUGAGACACGGUCCAGACUCCUACGGGAGGCAGCAGUGGGGAAUAUUGGACAAUGGGCGAAAGCCUGAUCCAGCCAUGCCGCGUGUGUGAAGAAGGUCUUCGGAUUGUAAAGCACUUUAAGUUGGGAGGAAGGGCCAUUACCUAAUACGUGAUGGUUUUGACGUUACCGACAGAAUAAGCACCGGCUAACUCUGUGCCAGCAGCCGCGGUAAU